UUAUGAAGAACCAGAAUGCACUAUGGCAGUUCAUAGGCAAAGUGCUAAUCAAAACGAAUUGUUGAAAGAUGAGAGUUUGAAUGAAGGAGGAAAAUUGAAACAAAAAAGUGAAACACAAAUAUGUGACUAUGAUGAGCUGCACAUUGAAGAAGAACAACAAAACUACGAAGAACUAGACUUAUAAUAAGAACAUUCAUUGCAAAAUUGAAAAACAGAGCUUUUCAUUUUACUAAAAGCAGGAUAAAUGUUGUAUAUUGACGUCAAAGUAUAGCAAUUUUAAUAAAUGUAUUAGCUUUU